UGCCUCAUGGUGUAAUGGUUAACACAAUGGUUUUUGGAGCCAUUGUUCCAGGUUCAAGCCCUGGUGAGGCAACCA
rnacentral:tRNA from 1 species